rnacentral:lncRNA from 1 species
GACGGCGGGAGGAGGUCUCAGGGUCAAGAGCUACUUAGGAGAGAGAAGCCCCAGCCCCCUGAGGCUGCCUGGAUGUUGGGUCCCCAAGGAGGAAAAGUGCCGGGAGCCCAGCCCUGCCCAGAGCUCCCCGCAACACGCCCGCACACGGUCCCGGGCAGCCACGGGGCUUGUCGUGGGUGGGGAGGACACACGUGACGUUGGACCUGCCCCGGUGGAGGAAUGGGACCGUGAGGGAGCGCCAGGCCCGUAGGUGUGCGAAGCCGACCCAGAGAAGAAGCCAGGGAAGGUCUCAGAAAUACACCUUCCCAGGGCAGAAGCCCGUCUGCGACGCCCGGUGACCCCAGCAGCCACAGAGAAGGUGC